AGGAAUCUCCUCAGAAAGAGCAACCUGCCACUUCCCUGACCAAUCUUGGAAUUUAAUAUGGAUUUCUGCAACUGUCGUCUCUUGGCAACCUUCGGGGCUCCAUUUGGCUUAAAAGACGGCAUUCGGCUUUGCCACCACAAUUCAUCCUGAGCCAUGAAGAUCCUUCACCUGUGCUUGGCAGUUCUCUCUUUGCUGCUCCUCACUUCCCCAGGAUCAGCAGAUGAGGGACCUACCAAUGCUGCUGAAUGCGGUCAAGCCAAAGGUCUUUGCUACCGUAAACGUUGUCCCAAUAAUUAUGAAAGAAUUGGAAGGUGCUACUUUAUGCCUUACUGUUGCAGAAGGUAAUUUC